rnacentral:lncRNA from 1 species
GAAGCAGAUGAAAGAGAAAGUUCUACAAGCGGUUGGAAGAAAUGGGUGCUCUGGAGGUCAGGGCUGAAGUGAGGAGUUUUGAGAGUUGAGGUUCAGGCUGUGAGGAUUGUAUCUCUCCCCCAGCAAUCCUCUGCCAAGUGAGCCCUUUAUAUGCAAGGCAGUUUAUAUCUCACACACCUCUCUGUGCACCUUCUGUUUUUAACUCCCCAGGAGUAAAUUUUUCAGCCUCUUUCUUUAUAGCAAAUUACACCAUUAAUGUCAUCCUGGCGAAUGAAACAAGAGAAUAGUAUUUAUCAGAGAAAGUCUGGUGAGUUGAAGUCCAAGACCCCAGGAAACAACUAGCCCUGCUGGGCUGCCCCUCCUUCGGAGUGGGACUAUAUGAUCCUCAUCAGGCCAAUCCACGUCACAGAAUGGUCUAGGCAUUGGAUGAGUGCCUCAAUCUGAGCCAAUGAAGGUCAUUGCUGAGACAUUUUACUGGUUGCCAGGCUGCAGGCAUCCCAGGCUUCCUGCUGCCCUCAUGUCUACAACCUGUCGUCUGGAA